rnacentral:rRNA from 1 species
ACUUUCAACAACGGAUCUCUUGGUUCUGGCAUCGAUGAAGAACGCAGCGAAAUGCGAUAAGUAGUGUGAAUUGCAGAAUUCAGUGAAUCAUCGAAUCUUUGAACGCACAUUGCGCCCCAUGGUAUUCCAUGGGGCAUGCCUGUUCGAGCGUCAUUUGU